GCCAGUGUGGCAUAGUGGUUAGAGUGUCAGACUAGGACCCGGGAAACCAGGGUUCAAAUCCCCACUCGGCU
rnacentral:tRNA from 1 species